rnacentral:rRNA from 1 species
UGCGAUAACUAGUGCGAAUUGCAGACACAUUGAGCACAAAAAUUUCGAACGCAAAUUGCGCCAUCGGGUUUAUUCCCCUUGGCACGUCUGGCUGAGGGUCGGU